GCCCGGGUGGUGAAAUGGUAGACACAGCGGACUUAAAAUCCGCCGACGCGAAAGCGUCGUGCCGGUUCGAGUCCGGCUCCGGGCA
rnacentral:tRNA from 1 species